rnacentral:rRNA from 1 species
UUUCGUUGUUAGGGUAGUGUCCUAACAAGUCGUUGACGAGUAACGGGGAAUUAGAGUUCGAUUCCGGAGAGGCCGCCUGAGAGACGGCGACCAUAGCCAAGGCUAGCAGCAGGCGUGAAAAUUACCCAAUCCUAGUACAGGGAGGUAGUGACAAGAAAUAUCAGAUCUCGGCCUUUUUAGGUUGAGACACUGAAAUGAGAACUAGUUAAAUCGCAUAUCAAAUGCUAAGGAAGGGCAAGUCUGUGCCAGCAGCCGCGGUAAUACCAGCUUCCUUAAUCUUCACUAAUGUUGUUGCGGUUAAAAAGCUCGUAGUUGGAUUUCUGGCGUAUGAAACUUGGCCCGGCGUCUUUGACGUUGAGUGCCGAUGUAUCUAUGCCUUUUGAUACGGUCGUGAGUGCUCUUCUUAAUCGGGGGGUAUUUCUGGUCGUAUCCUGUUACUUUGAAAAAAUUGGAGUGCUCAAAGCAAACUAGCGUUUGAACAAUUAGCAUGGAAUAACAAGAUAGGACUUUGGUUCUUUUUGUUGGUUUCUGAACUAAAGUAAUGAUUGAUAGGAAACAUUGGGGAUGCUUGUAUUCAAUGGCCAGAGGUGAAAUUCUUGGAUUCAUUGAAGACAAACUUAUGCGAAAGCAUUCAUCAAGGGGUUCUCCUUUAAUCAAGAGCGAAAGUGUGGGGAUCGAAGACGAUCAGAUACCGUCGUAGUCCACACCGUAAACUAUGCCAGCCCGCGAUUAGCCGGUCUCUUAUAAGACCCGGUUAGCAGCGUGAGGGAAACUAGAGCGUUUGGGUUCUGGGGGGAAUAUGGUCGCAAGGCUGAAACUUAAAGGAAUUGACGGAAGGGCACCACCAGGCGUGGAACCUGCGGCUUAAUUUGACCCAGCACGGGGAAACUUACCAGGUCAGGACAACGGUAGGAUUGACACCUUGAAGAGGUUUCUUGAUUCGUUGGAUGGUGGUGCAUGGCCGUUCUUAGUUGGUGGAGUGAUUUGUCUGGUUUAUUCCGUUAACGAACGAGGCCUCGAUCUGCUAAAUAGUGUCAUUUAUGUUUACAUAGGUGGAACUUCUUAGAGAGACUGCUGGUGUGGAGCCAGAGGAAGCUCGAGGCGAUAACAGGUCUGUGAUGCCCUCAGAUGUCCUGGGCCGCACGCGCGUUACACUGAGGCGUUCUAUAUGUACAAUGCUUGAUUGAAAGGUCUGGCAAAUCAUUCGAAAGCGCUUCGUGAUGGGGAUUGCCGGUUGGAAUUUUCCGGCAUGAACGAGGAAUGCCUAGUAAGCUCGACUCAUCAAGUCGAACUGAAUACGUCCCUGCCCUUUGUACACACCGCCCGUCGCUACUACCGAUUGAAUUAAUUGUUGAGUUGCAGGGAAUGAGUGUACGGUGUGGGUUUCCAUGCUGUACGUUUGUGAUCUGUCGCGAAACUGUUGAUUUAGAGGAAGUAAAAGUCGUAACAAGGUC